CUAUGACCUCUCACCACUCUGUCUCUCUUUUUUCUUCUCCCUCUCUGUUUUUUGCACUCCCACCCUUUCCACCUAAUGAACAGACUCCCUGUUUAACACUGUAUGGCGGUGCCAGAUUCAGUGCCACGCCCUCUUGUGGACAACACCAGUGCUAACACCCUCCAGCCUGUCCCUCAGCCCACCAGAGUGCUGCUCUGCCUGUAGACCAGCAGGGUGCCAACCCAGGAAGCAGUCCAGAUGGCCGAAUUAUCGCAAGUCAACAUGGAGGGGGAGCAGGGGAGAAGAACACAACACAGUCACACAGUUUUGUCUUGGACCAAAGAGCAUCGCUGGCUCAUGUGUUACAUUGUGUGCAGUGAGCGCUUGAAAUGGAGCAUCUCAGAUCUUCUUCCUGUCUGACAUUGCCCUAAAGUGUGCACAAGUUUGUGUGACUGCCCAGAUGCGCUCCUCCUCCUCCUCCUCCUCCUCCUCCUCCUCCUCUUCGCUCCACACAGCAGACAGGGCUCUGAUCAGCCUUGUGUGGUCUUCUCAGAUGGAGCCUGAACAUGAUCUCUUUCCAGGGGAAACGGUUUGUUUUCUCUGCCCGGCUUGCACAAAGAGCCACAUUGUUCCUCACCCCAUAUCCCACGCUGACUCCCCACUCCAGGUUUUGGGUUACCUGGCCGACGGGGGCUCAGACUUCAGGAGCUUUUUUAUUUUUUUGACCGACAGCCAGGAAUAUAGUAUACCCUUCUCUCCUCCACCUAUCCGCCCAAUCUAAAUACGGUACACACCAGUGCUGAGGUUUUUAUCCCUCACAACUGAUUGCCUGUGACUCCCAACGCUGCUCACUUCCUUCAAGGGAGGAGAGAAAUUCUGCUGAGAUUAAGACUUUAUCCGCGGGCAGUUUACUCACUGUGUAGAGAGUCAGGCUCGGCUGUUAAGACAUAGGAUUGAAUCCCCGAGGACAGCUCCUCGAAAACAAUCUACACAGAAUAUACGAGGGCACACCUGCUGAUGCACACAAACUGAGAUGGUCUGUGAACACUUUAGUCGUCUUGAUGACGCUGGUACAUAAAUGUGUGAUUUACAGAUCCAAUAUUCACCAAAUCUUUUAUGGCAAAUCAGAAUGUGAAUCCGUUCCAUGCAUGUUUUCUUUAAAAACAUUCACGGGACACGACAGUUUAACUAUUCAGACUGUUUUUCUCCACAUUAUUGGCUCCGAUCAGACAAUUCUGACAACAAAAGGCGGUUUUGCAAUUUUACCAAAUGUGGUGUUAUACUCAAAAGCAUCAAAUGCUGUGGUGUGCAGCGAUCAGUAUUACAGUUCAAGCUAUUGGGGAUACCUAAUGAGAUUUGAUCCACUUAGAGGCUUGUCAACACUUGUUCCCUUUGUACGAUUUCAGUUUUCUAGUUGAAAUCUACACAGAUACUAUUUGAUGUUAUAUUAACUUAUGGAUGAUGCAUAUGUAGAUUUUCACACAAAAAAAUAGCUUUAUUUCUUCACUUGUUUCUUUGGUGAUUGUAUCGUGUGAGUGCCGAAGCUCUUAAAUGCCCCCUUGUCUAUAUGUUUAUAUGCUGUAUCCCCACUAGAGAGCAGUGUUUACCUUUGUAACUUUGCACCUGCCCUGUUUUUUUUUUGACAAGAAAGCACCAGGAGGCCCCAUAGGCAGUCUGCUAAACACAACACAACACUGCACUGGGUGCCAUCUGACUCACAUCCAAUGCCAAGCAGACAGCUAUUCCUUCACAUCUUGCCAUUAUUUCAAACAUCCGUGUCAUAUCCAGGAUGUAGUCAGCAGCUUCUUCUACACACUCAUCAUGACCUAGAAAAUGUCCAAAUGUGACCCACCCACCCUGCCAUCAUUCCAAAACUACCUAACCUGUUUGUGUAUAUGUGCCUGCAGAGGAAACACACUUCCCCGUUGCCCCACUCAUUCCAGCCUACAUCGUCACCCACAAGUCAUCAUGCCAUAAUAUCAGUGUCAUCCUCAGCCGGCGGGGAGACUUUGUCAACAGCUAGUAUGAGUCAGUGAUGACAUCACUCCAUACGAAUAGCUGCAGUGUCAACAAGUGGUUCUGAACUCCAACACCACAGGCCAAAAGUCACAUUAUUAAGACUGCCAUUACUUUGAUUUGCUUUUUUUCCCCCAAUCAUUGCCAUUUCUCACCUGACACAAUGCUAAGUUGCGACAAAAAUGACUUCAGACGUUUUGUUGUUGCCUGAAAUGCAUAGGUAGGCUACUUUCUGACCUCCAUUUUCCAACAUUUAGCCCACUGUCUGGAUUUAAACUGUCUCACUGUUUGUAUUUGAAUAAAGAUUAAGUAACCAAGAGCUUUGGUGGAGACCUCUUUGUAAAGUAAAAAUAAAUAAAAGUUAUUCUA
ensembl:lncRNA